GGGUGGAGCAGAUACCUCUGGCCUCUGGCCUCUGGGCUUCUCGUUGCUGCAGCUCGACGUCUUCUUCACGGGGACAACGUUUCCAAGGUUUCUUUGUGACAAUAUGGAUUGUCGUGCUGAUGUUCAAGUUCAGUUAUAUUCCAUGAAGUUUCCCCAUCAAUCUUGAUGGUGGAAGUGGAGCUAUAUAGAGCAGCUGGAGAUACUUGAGAGUAUAACAAGGUUUCUUUGUGACAAUCUGGAUUGCCGUGGUGAUGUCAAAGUAAAAUUAUAUUGCAUGAAGUUUCCCCAUCAAUCUUGAUGGUGGAAGUGGAACUAUAUCGAGCAGCUGGAGAUACUUGAGAGUAUAACAAGGUUUGGCAGAAGCUCCAAAAUACUUGUCUCUUCAGGGAUGCUUAUGUUGGCGUAGAACAAGGACUUGGCCCUAUAAACUUCGUGUGUGUAUGUUGGUGCAGAACAAGAGCUUGCUGUGUUGCAUGGAUUUUAUGAAUGAGCUGAAUAAUGGUUGCGAGAACAAUACUUUUCCAGGAGAUGUGUUAUUGCUAUUUGAAUAUCUGAAUACUGCAGUUCUUCUGAGAGUUGUCUAGUCAUCUAUAUAUCUCUGAAUAUUGUAGCUCUUGUUAGAGGAAGGACUUGAAAUCGUUGUCAGUUAUGUA